ACCAAAGAAAAAAUACACCACAUGUCAGAUUUUUUCCUCUCCCUCUUGCCAUUUUUCAUUCCGUGCUCGCACCAGCAAAAUGGAAAGAGAGGGCUUGAAAAAAAACAUAAUAAUAGAAAACCCUACUGUGCAAUUCUUCAUCUCUUCCAUCGCCGGUGUGAGAGAGAGGGAUGAUGAGUGAUUUUUCCUUGCUGCCGCUGCUGUAGGUGACGGUGCUGUCGAACCUUCUUAUUUUUGUGUCUCUGUUUGCAAGCAAUGGAUGAGAGGGUGCACGACUGAUUCUGUUUCAAUCAGCCACCUCCACGUGUUCCUCCUCUUCUUGUUGCCGGUGAGUGGUGUAGUGAGGAGUUAGGUUCGUUGCUGUUGAAGGCUCUGUUGGGAUUGGCAGGCUCAUCUUCCUCAUCCCCUGUUUUCUUCGCUGUGAGAAUCGUGGUCUUCUCUGAUCUCCUCCUCCUCUACUACUUCAUCCUCAUGUAGUGGUGUACUUCUCUUAACCUUACUGUGGGUCUAGUAUCAAGGCGAGCCACUCAAGCAUCGAAAGGAGAAGAAAAAGAAGAGUUAAAGUUGCUGUGUCAUACACCGUGGCACGUAGAUCAUCCGCCACGGUGCACAGCCAUCUCUGAGUGAGGGAAGACCUCUCUGUACCAUGUGUCGUGGCACGUUGUGCAUCCACCGCGGCACAUAGCAUUUUCUGUACUUUAUUAUACGUUAAUUAAGACAGAAAAAGAAAGAAGAGAAAAGAGAUAAAGAAUAGGCGCAUCUAAGCUCUGCUAAGGUUUGCUUAGGGAUUACUUUGAGAGUAUUUUGAAGGCUACAAAUAUCCAAGGUAAGUAUCAUUCCCAUUAAUCUUUCCUUUUCUUCCACAUUUAUGAGUUUGUGGUUAAGGUAUGAUAGUUGAAGUAGAAUUUCGGUCCAUAUAGGUUAUGGGUCUAAAUUUGUUGACUCAAAUAGAGUUAAUAGGGGUAGAUUAGAGUAUUAAACCUAGAUAUGAUGAGUAUUGGUGUCUUGGGUUGUUGGGCACCAUAAAUACCCAAAAAUCCCAUUUAUUAUGGUGGUUGAAAGUUUGUGAUGCCAUUAAUGGAAAUUUAAUGGCUCAUUAAUGCUAUUGGGAGCUAAAGGUAACUAUUAAACCUAAUGGUUAGGCUCCAUCUCAUGUAAAGUGAAGGUUAGGCAAAUUAGAAGUAAAGAUUGAGGGUUUAAUUAAUUGAGUUUGGGUUAUUGAUGGAAUUCAAAUUGAUUGCUUGUAGUUUUGGCUCUUGGUCACCUUUUUGGAGUGAAAAUUCAAGCUUGGAGGCUAGUUAAUUGAGGAGUAAACCUUUGACCUCAAAGGUUUGAGGCUCUAGCAUUGGUGUUGAGAGGGAGAAGACUAAAGAGUUGGGGAAUUAGUACAUUCCUUCCUGUAUGCCUCUGGUUUUAGAUGUAGUUAUGUAAUAGCAUAUGUUUGCCAAUUUUAGGAUGCAUAUUACCCAUACUUGCACUAUUUUGGUUUGGAAAUGUUAUAAUUGUAUUUUGGGCCCUUAGCCUUGGUUUAUGUUGUCAUAUAUAUGUUUAUAAGGCCAAAAUACUAGUGCAAGUAUAGAAAAGAAGAUUUAAACAUGUUUUGAAUGUUUUAGGGUUUAAUGCAAUGCUAU